rnacentral:rRNA from 1 species
UACGUAGGGUGCGAGCGUUAAUCGGAAUUACUGGGCGUAAAGCGUGCGCAGGCGGUUCGGCAAGUCAGGGGUGAAAUCCCCGGGCUCAACCUGGGAAUUGCGCUUGAAACUAGCGAGCUUGAGUGUGGCAGAGGGGGGUGGAAUUCCACGUGUAGCAGUGAAAUGCGUAGAUAUGUGGAGGAACACCGAUGGCGAAGGCAGCCCCCUGGGUCAACACUGACGCUCAGGCGCGAAAGCGUGGGGAGCAAACCGG